rnacentral:rRNA from 2 species
UGACUGCGUACCUUUUGUAUAAUGGGUCAGCGACUUAUAUUCUGUAGCAAGGUUAACCGAAUAGGGGAGCCGGAGGGAAACCGAGUCUUAAUUGGGCGUUAAGUUGCAGGGUAUAGACCCGAAACCCGGUGAUCUAGCCAUGGGCAGGUUGAAGGUUGGGUAACACUAACUGGAGGACCGAACCGACUAAUGUUGAAAAAUUAGCGGAUGACCUGUGGCUGGGGGUGAAAGGCCAAUCAAACCGGGAGAUAGCUGGUUCUCCCCGAAAGCUAUUUAGGUAGCGCCUCGUGAAUUCAUCUCCGGGGGUAGAGCACUGUUUCGGCUAGGGGGCCAUCCCGGCUUACCAACCCGAUGCAAACUGCGAAUACCGGAGAAUGUUAUCACGGGAGACACACGGCGGGUGCUAACGUCCGUCGUGAAGAGGGAAACAACCCAGACCGCCAGCUAAGGUCCCAAAGUCAUGGUUAAGUGGGAAACGAUGUGGGAAGGCCCAGACAGCCAGGAUGUUGGCUUAGAAGCAGCCAUCAUUUAAAGAAAGCGUAAUAGCUCACUGGUCGAGUCGGCCUGCGCGGAAGAUGUAACGGGGCUAAACCAUGCACCGAAGCUGCGGCAGCGACACUCAGGUGUUGUUGGGUAGGGGAGCGUUCUGUAAGCCUGCGAAGGUGGCCUGUGAGGGUUGCUGGAGGUAUCAGAAGUGCGAAUGCUGACAUAAGUAACGAUAAAGCGGGUGAAAAGCCCGCUCGCCGGAAGACCAAGGGUUCCUGUCCAACGUUAAUCGGGGCAGGGUGAGUCGACCCCUAAGGCGAGGCCGAAAGGCGUAGUCGAUGGGAAACGGGUUAAUAUUCCCGUACUUGGUGUUACUGCGAAGGGGGGACGGAGAAGGCUAUGUUGGCCGGGCGACGGUUGUCCCGGUUUAAGCGUGUAGGUGUGUGUUCCAGGUAAAUCCGGUUCACUUUAACACUGAGGCGUGACGACGAGGCACUACGGUGCUGAAGCAACAAAUGCCCUGCUUCCAGGAAAAGCCUCUAAGCAUCAGGUAACAUCAAAUCGUACCCCAAACCGACACAGGUGGUCAGGUAGAGAAUACCAAGGCGCUUGAGAGAACUCGGGUGAAGGAACUAGGCAAAAUGGUGCCGUAACUUCGGGAGAAGGCACGCUGACACGUAGGUGAAGUGAUUUACUCAUGGAGCUGAAGUCAGUCGAAGAUACCAGCUGGCUGCAACUGUUUAUUAAAAACACAGCACUGUGCAAACACGAAAGUGGACGUAUACGGUGUGACGCCUGCCCGGUGCCGGAAGGUUAAUUGAUGGGGUCAGCGCAAGCGAAGCUCCUGAUCGAAGCCCCGGUAAACGGCGGCCGUAACUAUAACGGUCCUAAGGUAGCGAAAUUCCUUGUCGGGUAAGUUCCGACCUGCACGAAUGGCGUAAUGAUGGCCAGGCUGUCUCCACCCGAGACUCAGUGAAAUUGAACUCGCUGUGAAGAUGCAGUGUACCCGCGGCAAGACGGAAAGACCCCGUGAACCUUUACUAUAGCUUGACACUGAACAUUGAGCCUUGAUGUGUAGGAUAGGUGGGAGGCUUUGAAGUGUGGACGCCAGUCUGCAUGGAGCCGGCCUUGAAAUACCACCCUUUAAUGUUUGAUGUUCUAACGUGGACCCGUGAUCCGGGUUGCGGACAGUGUCUGGUGGGUAGUUUGACUGGGGCGGUCUCCUCCUAAAGAGUAACGGAGGAGCACGAAGGUUGGCUAAUCCUGGUCGGACAUCAGGAGGUUAGUGCAAUGGCAUAAGCCAGCUUGACUGCGAGCGUGACGGCGCGAGCAGGUGCGAAAGCAGGUCAUAGUGAUCCGGUGGUUCUGAAUGGAAGGGCCAUCGCUCAACGGAUAAAAGGUACUCCGGGGAUAACAGGCUGAUACCGCCCAAGAGUUCAUAUCGACGGCGGUGUUUGGCACCUCGAUGUCGGCUCAUCACAUCCUGGGGCUGAAGUAGGUCCCAAGGGUAUGGCUGUUCGCCAUUUAAAGUGGUACGCGAGCUGGGUUUAGAACGUCGUGAGACAGUUCGGUCCCUAUCUGCCGUGGGCGCUGGAGAACUGAGGGGGGCUGCUCCUAGUACGAGAGGACCGGAGUGGACGCAUCACUGGUGUUCGGGUUGUCAUGCCAAUGGCACUGCCCGGUAGCUAAAUGCGGAAGAGAUAAGUGCUGAAAGCAUCUAAGCACGAAACUUGCCCCGAGAUGAGUUCU